GAUGAAGAACGUAGCGAAAUGCGAUAAGUAAUGUGAAUUGCAGAAUUCAGUGAAUCAUCGAAUCUUUGAACGCACAUUGCGCCCGCCAGUAUUCUGGCGGGCAUGCCUGUCUGAGCGUCAUUUCAACCCUCAUGCCCCUAGGGCGUGGUGUUGGGGAUCGGCCAAAGCCCGCGAGGGACGGCCGGCCCCUAAAUCUAGUGGCGGACCCGUCGUGGCCUCCUCUGCGAAGUAGUGAUAUUCCGCAUCGGAGAGCGACGAGCCCCUGCCGUUAAACCCCCAUCUUUCCAAGGUUGACCUCAGAUCAGGUAGGAAUACCCGCUGAACUUAAGCAUAUCAAUAAGCGGAGGA
rnacentral:misc_RNA from 1 species